rnacentral:rRNA from 1 species
UACGGAGGAUGCGAGCGUUAUCUGGAUUUAUUGGGUUUAAAGGGUGCGCAGGCGGCACGGCAAGCCGGCGGUCAAAUCGCGGGGCUCAACCCCGCCCAGCCGUCGGAACUGCCGGGCUAGAGUGGGCGAGAAGUGCGCGGAAUGCGUGGUGUAGCGGUGAAAUGCAUAGAUAUCACGCAGAACUCCGAUUGCGAAGGCAGCGCAUCGGCGCCCUACUGACGCUCAGGCACGAAAGCGUGGGUAUCGAACAGG